GAGAGUAAUAUCUGGAAGAAGUACAUUAAAUAAGUUUAUGCUUCAACUGAUAUGUAUAUGGAAACCAAGGAGAUCUAUUCUGAAUACCAAGUUUCCAAAUAUAGAAUUUUUAAAUAAGUAUUGAUAUUCAUGGUAUUUAUUACAGAAAGGCAAACUUUCCUACUCUUGAUAGUAAGAAGCAAGUUUUCCUACUCUUGUAAAUAAGAAAUGAGUUUUCCAUUCACCUAUCUCAUGGAUUCUGAAUUCUUUAAAGUUUGUGAAAUAAUAACUUUCCCUCAAAAUAUGACAAUAUUAUACAUGCCUUAGGACAUACUGGAUAUUAAGAGACAGAUGUCGUCUAAGCAAUCUGAAGAAAAGAAGAAUCUCUUAUAAAAAGGCAAGGUAUGUUAUAGAACCCAAGGACAGGAAAUACAGCCAGAUCUCCCAUGGGACAGAACUGAGGACUGAAAAGUUGUAUAUUUUUCCAUUUUACUCAAUCUCAUCCCCUCUCCCAUGGAGAGGAUUUUCCUUAUCUCUAUGUUUCUACUCUCUUUUUACAGAGCAGCAUUCCUCACUUAUACAUGGCACAUUGCGUGGGGUUGCCAAAUUUAGCAAAUAAAAUUAUAGGAUGUCUAUACUUUACUUGGCAACUGUGCCAUCAUGCCUCGCCAAUCCAUUGCCCUCAUUUCCUGGGUCUCCCUAAUCCAUAACCAGAGCUGAUUUAUGGGAGUUUCUGCAUCUUCAUUCAAAAUUCAGUAGGAAGAAUCUAAUUAGUUCAGCUUGGGCCAGUGGCCAGCUGUCAUGGGUAAGGCAGUCAGAGGGCCAUCUCUGUAGGUGGGAGGCGUUGUCAGGUAAGUGAUGAUGAGUUGGCCCAAAAUGUUAUCUACUAAAUGUAAAUUUAGGCUAUAAGUAAAUCUUGCUUUACACAUAGAGUUGCACUUGCAAAUUUCUUGAUUUCAUAGACCAAGUUCUAUUGGUUUUUGUAUUCCCUGGUGUCUGGCAUCUAGUACUUGAUACAUAUUGGUGAAUUGAGUUAAAUGAGAAAAAUUUCAAAAAAUUAUCCUGUUUCUCUGUUUAUUUGAAUAUUUCUAAAUAUAGGUAAGGACAGAGCAACUUUCCAGAACUGGUGUUUUUGGUUACUAAUGUGUUGCUUUAAGGUGAUAGUAUGUAUAAAAGGGGAUCAAAUGGAGAGUGAUGUUAACCUAGUGGAAGAGUCACUGGAAAGCUCCAGAGCACCAAAAAGUUACUAAAAAUCUUUUAAAAGUACAUGAAUCACCCAGGAAGGUUUGUAUAUUAGCCAAUCACUAAGAGGAAAUUAAUUUAUUAAAAUUUCAGAUUGAGGGUGAAAUAAACCAGGUGGCUCAGUGGUUUAGUGCCGCCUUCAGCCCAGGGUGUGAUCCUGGAGACCCGGGAUAGAGUCCCACAUUGGGCUCCCUGCAUGGAGCCUGCUUCUCCCUCUGCCUGUGUCUCUGCCUCUCUCUCUCUGUUUCUCUCAUGAAUAAAUAAAAUCUUAAAAAAUAAAUAAAUAAAAUUUCAGAUUGAAUGAUCUUUCUCUUAAUAUAACAAUUUUAAAAAAACCCUCUUAUAGUGGACCUGCUCAUUUAUUUUCUUGUUUCUCUUUUGGCCACUAAUACUCUUUCCAUGAUGAUUUACUCUAAUUUUUUAGGAUGCUUUAUGCAAAUGGUAGCUAGCGACUUUUACUCUAUUACUACCACUUAUAUGAUGCUAACCACAUAUGGAAUAAGUCAUCUAUAUUAUCAACAUCUACAGCACUGAUGGUUAAAAGUCAUGGUACCAUCAACCCACUUGGAGGCACAGGGUUAUAGGAAGCAGAACAUGGAGAAAGAGAAACUGAACGUGGGUCACAUGACCUGGGUUUGCAGACACCAGGCCUACAUUUAACUACAAGUUCUCCUUACUAUUUCCUUUGAUGCCUUGGGCCAGUUUCAUAACCUCUUUUUGUCUCAAUUUUUUAAAGCAGGGAUAAAUAUGCCUGCCCUGGCCACCUGCCAGGGUUGUUAAUCAAACAAGAUAAUGUAUGUGAAAGUGUUUGUAAACUAUAAAAUACUUCACAGACAUGAGAUUCUUCUUGUUGUUGUCUGAUAAAAGACGUUUAUAAAUCAUGUUAAUAUCUAAGCAAAGAUGUCAUUACUGUAUUGAUGGUUACUAUGAACUAGAGGUAUAAGCUCUAAAAAGAUAGAAUUUGCAAAGGAAAACAAUCCUCCUGAAUGGACUAUUCUUACUUUACAUGCCAUUUUAUUUAUUUAUUUAUAUGAUUUUAUUUAUUUAUUCAUGAGAGACACACAGAGAGAGACCGGUAGAGACACAGGCAGAGGGAGAAGCAGGAUCCAUGCAGGAAGAAGCCAGAUGUGGGACUUGAUCCCGGGACUCCAGGAUUAUGCCCCAGGCCAAAGACAGGCGCUAGACUGCUGAGCCACCCAGGGAUCCCCUACAUGCCAUUUUAAAGGACAAAACUAUUCUUAUUGCUUUUUAUUGUUUUUUUCCUUUUUAUUGUUUUUAAUGCAUAAUUUAAGAUGAACAAAAAAAUGCAUUAGGCUGGGGGGAAAUAGCCAUAACCAAGAAUAUCUGAGUUAAAAAAGCUCUCGUCAUUGCCACAUUGUUAAAGGCAUUGUUUGAGGCUUCCCUGUUAGAUUCCCAUUCUGUACCAGUGUCUCAUCCCUUAUCCUUUAAAAAAAAAAAAAAAGGUUUAUUUAUUCAUUUGAGAGAGAGAGAGAAAGUACAAGUGGCGGAGGGAGUAGAGGGGGAGAUAGAAGCAGAUUCCCUGCUGAGCAGGGAGCUCGACAUGGGGCUCCAUCCCAGGAAUUCAGGAUCACGGCCUGAGCUGAAGGCAGAUGCUUAACUGACUGAGCGCCAUCCAAGUACCCCUCAUCCCUUAUCAUUAUCCUUCUGGAAUCCCCACAGAGAAGGAAGACCAUAGCUAUUAGUGCAUCCCUUGUCUUACAUAGAAACUUUAGUAUCAGCAUCUAUUCUCUUAUCAUUUCAUUUUCCUCCAUGGUGUUAAGCCCCAUCAUUUGGUGAAAAAAGAAAUAGCAUCUCCUUGCAAAAUGGUGGGAACCUUGUGGGAAAUUAUAGAUUUCUGUGCUGUAGAAGUCUUGUUUCUUUUUGCAAUGAGUUCAAAAUUUAUGUAUCUUAUCUAUGGUGAUUUUCAGCUCCUAACUGGAGCCAGGUAUACAUAGGUGUCCAAUAAACAACUAAAUAAAUGAAUAUAUGGAUGGAUGUUGUUUGGUUGAAUUAUUAUAUUCUCAAGAAGAGAGAUAAAUAUCUUAUUAAUUAAUCCAUUUAUUAUAUAAAGUGAUAUCACAAAUACCUCUACCUUGAAAUUGUCUACGAACGCAACUCCCUAACAUAAAAUAGCUGUGGAACCAAAUACUAUUAAAUCAAACAUUUGUGACUUGUCUUAUUUGGAAACACUUGUAAGUAUCCUUUUUCAAAAAAUAUUUUAUUUAUUUAUUCAUGAGAGACACAGAGAGAGAGGCAGAUACAUAUGCAGAGAGAAAAGCAGGCUCGCCAUUGGGAGCCCGAUGCGGGACUCCAUACCUGCACCAAGGAUAUGCCCUGAGCUAAAGGCAAAUACUCAACCCCUGAGCUACCCAGGGGUCCCAUCGUAAGUAUCCAUUUUGAAAUAUUGAUAAAGCAGUGUCCAUAUAUCCUCCUUUUGCAUGAAUGAUUUUAUUAUUUUUUAUUAUUUAACAUUUUUUAAGUCAGUUGAAUUCAUGUCUAACCAAACUGAACUGAAUUUCAAGUCUAUGCUGUUAACUUGAAAAUGAUCAACAUUAACAAAGGAAAAGCAAGCAGGCUAUUCCAGGCAAGUUUAUGUUUACAAGUUGUAGAAAGAUUGCUUAUUUUAACCAGUGAGAUUGAUCUGGGGUGAUGAACUUUUGAAAAAAGAUAGACUAUAGCCAGUUUGACCUAGAGACAGAAAUGAGCUAUGAAAAUAAAACAUAGGAUAGAGUUGCAUUGAGGAGCAGUAUUUAAUAUGAAAUUUAAGCCCUGGUUAUUAUUCUAUUUCUUUUGUCAGUUUCAUAGGUUCUGUAGUUGAAACAUUUCACCUAGUUGUAUAUCAGGUUUGCUCAUAUACUUAUUGCAGAGUCGGUUAAUUGCAUGUCAUUACAUGAUGUUUUAUUUGUUGCAUGCUGUUGUUCACCAUUCCAGGCUUAUAGAAUUCUGCCCCUUAUUUAUAGUGUUAGUUUUCCACACUUAUGCCUGAAAAAAAUUAUCUCCACUUUGUUGUUUUCUUUUGUGACUUGUCUCUUGCUUAGGUCCCAAGUUUCUGCCUAACUGGUUGGAGGAAUACUUCUGGGCUUGCCACUGUAAUUUGUUUAAUCAGGUCCAGGUCAUGGGAACAGAGCAAUGAUUCUGAGAAUGAUUUGCCCUCAGCUGAGGUCUGGCCACCCCAGAGAAUAGACUGAACAUUAUGGGAGCCACAGCAUCCUGUCUCAAACAAAGCAGGGGACAUGUAGCCCUGCAAAAUCAUUCUGGGAAAAAAAUCUGGAAAUUAACCUGAAAAUAGGAGACUGUAGUGGAUAGACUGGAGUAAAUUAUCUGCCAUGCUUGAAGGCAAAUGCAGUGGUCAUAUACCUUGGCUUAAUUGUCUUGUCUUAGUUAAAAUGAAUGUAAUAUAUUAUUUGCUUCUUUGUAAGCUAUUACAUUUACUUACCAGUUAAGCCUUUGCUUUUUGAUGCCACCAAAACUUUUUUUAUAAAAUUUUACUAAAGUGAGUUUUGGAUUAUAAAUUCAUUUAUCAAAAGAAUAUUUCUAGUGUAGAAAUAGAUAGCAAUCUUUAACACAUUUUAAGGAAGAUUUUCUUUAUUUGAGAGAGAGAGAGAGAGAACAUCAUGGGGGACGGUCAGAGGGACAAAGCAGACUCCCUGCUGAGCAGCUCAAUCCCAGGACCCUGAGAUCAUGACCUGAGCCAAAGGCAGAUGCUUAACUGACUGAACCACUCAGGCAACCCUAGGAAUAGAUACAAUCUUUAAAGGAAACAACAACCAAUCUUAGAUUAUAAUAAAGAAAAUAUUUUGACAUUCUCCAAAGUAGACUCUGGGUAUUAAAAAUACAGACAAAACAUUAGAAUAAUGGUACAGUGACAUAAUAGCUCUAUCUUCAUGUUUGCCCACAUAUACAAUAGACUUAGUAAUUGCAUAAAUGUCUUUUGCCUCCCAUACUUCAAUAUGCCACUGAGGUUAUAUAAAAUUACAUCUAAGAACAACUUCUGUCCCAUUUGAAGCAGAAAAAAAUGUCCCAUAGAGGGUAAUUAAAGAUUCCCUCUUUUGCCACAAACUGUUUUGUUAAAGAAUGACUUGCUCACCCCAAAAGGAUUUGGGGGACAAUAAAGCUUAAUUACUUAAAAUUACUGCAGAGCAUGCAAAUAAAACCAAACUGUUAAAGUAUGAUUCUUUGGAUAUUGCAAUUUUAAAUAUGCUUGCUUAUAUUCAGUUCAAAAUACUAUUAAGAUAAACCUUGCCUUAUGCACUGGAUUCCUAAUGACUGGUUUUAUGAUUGUUGCAAAUCCAAUGAGAACAUAAUAUUUGGAAAAUCUGGCCUUUAUUGGGAAAUACUAGUCAAGGGUGGGGGUCGAUGUUGUAAGAAAAUGAGGUUCUCAUUACAUUCUCAUGAAAGUUCAGUGGCCAGAGGAAAAAAAAAAUGUUUCAUGUUCUUAUCAUGUUUGUGCAACAUUUAAAAAAGUUACUGCUCUAAAAAUUGUGCAAUAGAAAGUAAUCACCGGCAGAGCUUUAUAAGAUUACAAUACAUGGGACACAGAUGUCAUUUAAUUAUGUAUGAUUUACCUGUUCUGACAUGUCUUUGCUGUCCAUGGGUAUUCAUCAGAAGUUCAGGUAUAAUUGCAAUUAAGAUUCUAAGUACUUGGAACUGUACAUAGAAAGCAUUUAUAAAAUUACUUCUUUUUGCUGAAAAUAGGACAAUUGGUUUGUUUUGGAGUUAGAGACAUAAGUACAAAACAAAUGGCAUUUCUUAAGAUUAUGCUUCAAGUGUUUAAUUUUUAGUUGAAAAAAGGAAACUAACUUUGUCAGUAAAAUUCAAUUUUUUUCUCACUCCUGCUGAAAUUUAAAAUAUAUCAGGUGAUCAAGUUUUAUCAUAAAUAUAAGUAUCCACUGUCAGUUGAUUUAGGGGUUGCACAUAAACUGCUUGGCAGAAUUUAAAAUACGAUAAGCUUGAGAUAGUAUCCAAACCUUUUUGCUCUCAUUUUUGUCCUUCCACUUUUACUGAAAGUUAAGUUUCCUAAUAUUGGUGUACUUACAGUACACAAAGAAAGUAAAUAAUAUAAUUGAUACUACUUCUAUAUCGCAGAAACAACCAGAAUUCAAAAUUAGGGUAGAGAAACUUCUGGGAGCUUUCUUUCUGACUAAACUUACCACACCCAUCAGAAGAGGACAAAGUUCAAUCUGUGAAUAAGACUCAGGUUUUUUUCAAAGUGGCUCUUAAGCCAACAAUAUGCUACAUACUCCAUUUCCUUCUUCUCUGUAUAAGUGCUUUUCUGAAGUUUACCUCUUAAGUGGUUCAUUACCCAUCCCCUUACUAGCUGAAUACCUCUCAAAGCGACCAACAGUUUAGUGUUCCAAGGAUACAAAUAUGAGAGAUCUCCGGCAUUGUCCAAUAAGUUUCAUGUUGAUAGGAUAGUAUUUAAGUGUAAGAACGAGGGAAAUACACAUCUUAAAGCUGCAAAUAAAAGGAAAGCCAUUGUAUAGAAAUAGCUAUGCUUAAGAAAAAGAGUUUCUGAUACUGGAAGGUGAUGUUGGACCAUAGAUCCUAAAAGUUGUGAAUUGUUGAUGGUUGGAAGAGGAAAUAGUAUUCCAAACCAACAAGCAUUACCUGCAGUUCCCUCACAGAUGGGAGGUGAAUUUGUUUUAGGGUAUUGGUCUCUUUUGUUUCUGAAGGACUCCUCUUUCAUGAGUUAGAUAUUUGCAAAUUAAGUAAAUACUAUUUCUUUUAGUUGAUUAUUUGUAAAUGAAGUAUCUACCAUUAUCAAGGGGGAAGUUAUUCAAAAGUAGAUCCCUAAGUCCACUGAAUUCUUUGGGGUGGGGGGUGAGGGAGAGUGGGUGACAUGCCUCUUUGAAGAUACUUUGAUGAUGUGACCUGGUUCCUCUAGCUGAGUCUGAGAUGGGGGUUGUGGGGAGACUUGUGGGGGGAAGUGGUACCUGGGAAAGGAAGGAGAUGAAAAAGGGAAAUUUUGGCUAGAGGAAGAUUAAGUGGAUUCUGUAAACACACAAGCUGCCUGGGGACCCAAAAAGGGUUCUCUAGGUAAUUCCCUGUAAAAAAGCAUGUCAAUAAACUCUAGCUUCUAGGAUGAACAAUUCACAUCAAUGUUCAUAUUUUUCUUUUCUUUUCUUUUCUUUUCUUUUUAAGAUUUAAUUUAUUUAUUCAUGAGAGCCACAGAGAGAGAGGGGCAGAGACAUAGGCAGAGGGAGAAGCAACCUCCCUGCCGGGAGCCUGAUACAAGACUUGAUCCCAGGACCUGGGUCAUGAUCUAAGCCAAAGGCAGGUGCUCAACUACUGAGCCACACAGGUGCCCCCCAUAUUUUUCUCUUCUUUAUUAUAAUCCCUUAUAGCUACUUCAAGCCUUAGUAAAGUAUCCUAAAGUGUCUUAGCUAUGUUUACUGAAUUCCAAGUGGCAGUGGAUGGAAAAACCCAUUUCUAUACUUUGAGGGUAGUCUCUGUCUAUACUCUGGAAAGUUAAGGAGCCCACAGAGCUCCAGCCAGGGGUGAUCAGUGAACACUGAAGUGGCAGCCUGGGAGAUGUGGACACAAAACACCCAGGAUGGAUUUGUGAAACAUGGGAGCACUCACUGUGUAUAUUUAUAAAGUCUGGGGGAGGGAUCAGACUCUCUGCAUUCCCUUGGAUGGAGGCUUUUAUCCUUCUUAUUUGGAUAUUAAAGAGAAGAGGGACAUUGAAAGGCCAAAGAUGUUGUGUUAUAUAAUUCAUGUCAUAAGAAUGUGAGAAAUGAAAUCCAGUGUCACAGUGACAUGCUGACAUCUGGCAGUAAAGUAAUAAGAUCCUAUCAGCUAAUUCCAGAACAAUUUGGAAGGUAAAGAUAGGAAGUUUUAAUAUAAAAGUUUAGUACUUCUCCACUAAAUGUGACACCUUUACUAUUGUAUAAGG
rnacentral:lncRNA from 1 species